rnacentral:tRNA from 1 species
CGAGCGUGUGGAGCAAGGUUUCCGUUUCAUUGUCGUUCAUACCGGCAGCCGGCUCGUCGAGCAGGAGGAAGCGCGGUUCGGCCGCGAGCGCACGA